GGACUUUGGGUGCUGGGGAAAAACCUGUUUUUUUGUUUUGUUUUUUUAAAACAACUUGCAAACAUUGCACUGAAACCAAAAGGAACAGCACCUAUAGUAACCUUGUGCCAUAUCCCUACAAUAAGUUGUAGUGGUUAUUGUGCUUGUAUAGUCCCAUUAAGCAUCCACGUUUUGUGUAUACAUCAUUUUAAUACUAAACAAUGAAUUGUGUUAUUGUCAUUCAACUAGGGGGUGUUUUUAGCAUUCCUAAGAAAUUACACGCAAAAGUUUUAUUUGAUUUUAG